ACUACGUCUCAUUUUUUUGGUAUAUAAGUACGCUGUUAUUGUUCUCUGAUUAGUAAGUCAUUAACAAGUGUGCAAUCAACUUAAUAAUAAUCUUAAAUCUUGACGUUAAAGAUGUCAAAAAUUAUACUUUUGUUCAUCGUUACGAUGGUUGCCAUCUUCACAGUAGAAGUAUCUUCAAGGGCUGGUUGCUCAGGAAUCUGGACUUUCUGUUCCAGGGAUUACGAUUGUUGCUCAGGUUUUUGUCAUGAUCGUCACGCUUAUUGUGACACUGGCCCCUCCAUAGUAUUGCGUCCUGGUGAGGUCAAAGGCGUUUUCUAGAAAUAAGUGAGAAAAAUAUGAAAUCUUAAUUUACAAAAAUUUAAUUCAAUAAAUAUCCGGUACGUUUACGUGAAAAAUAAGCUAGUAGAUACUAAAUAAAUAUUAUAUUUGACAAGUGUUAUUUGGUUAAUGUAUAUGUUGAAAAAAUAAAAAAAAUGAUUGUCGUAUCACGACAGAAUCAAUCAUAAUAAAAACCUGGCAACGCAAAACUUA